AGAGUUUGAUCCUGGCUCAGGAUGAACGCUGACAGAAUGCUUAACACAUGCAAGUCUUUGGCGAAGUUGUGCUUGCACAGCCUAGCCAAGGCGGACGGGUGAGUAACGCGUAAGGAACUUGCCCUGCAGUCAGGGAUAACAGACGGAAACGACUGAUAAGACCUGGUAAAGUCAGGCGGACUCAUGUCCAGCCUGAUGAAAAGAGAUGCUGCAGGAGAGCCUUGCGUCCUAUUAGCUUGUUGGUGGGGUAACGGCCCACCAAGGCGAUGAUAGGUAGCCGGCCUGAGAGGGUGGACGGCCACAAGGGGACUGAGAUACGGCCCUUACUCCUACGGGAGGCAGCAGUGGGGAAUAUUGGACAAUGGGGGCAACCCUGAUCCAGCAAUUCUGUGUGCACGAUGAAGGUUUUCGGAUUGUAAAGUGCUUUCAGCAGGGAAGAAAAAAUGACGGUACCUGCAGAAGAAGCGACGGCUAAAUACGUGCCAGCAGCCGCGGUAAUACGUAUGUCGCAAGCGUUAUCCGGAAUUAUUGGGCAUAAAGGGCAUCUAGGCGGCCAGAUAAGUCUGGGGUGAAAACUUGCGGCUCAACCGCAAGCCUGCCCUGGAAACUAUGUGGCUAGAGUACUGGAGAGGUGGACGGAACUGCACGAGUAGAGGUGAAAUUCGUAGAUAUGUGCAGGAAUGCCGAUGAUGAAGAUAGUUCACUGGACGGUAACUGACGCUGAAGUGCGAAAGCUAGGGGAGCAAACAGGAUUAGAUACCCUGGUAGUCCCAGCCGUAAACGAUGAUUACUGGGUGUGGGCAUGAAGAGUGUCCGUGCCGAAGCAAAUGCGAUAAGUAAUCCGCCUGGGGAGUACGGCCGCAAGGCUGAAACUCAAAGGAAUUGACGGGGACCCGCACAAGCGGUGGAGCAUGUGGUUUAAUUCGACGCAACGCGAGGAACCUUACCAGAUCUUGACAUCCCGCGUAUGCCUGCGAGAGCGGGCAGUGCCUUCGGGG
rnacentral:rRNA from 1 species